rnacentral:lncRNA from 1 species
GCAGAGUAUUACUUUGCAGCACCUUCUCAGACACUGAUGGAGGACUGGCUACAAUCACUACAGAAUAAUAUAGGAAACAGCAACAGAUCACAUUCCACAGUGAUGGUGCAACCUUUCACUUCAAAUACAGAGACCUCCCAGAAAAGACUGUGGGACUUUACAGACAGGGACUCUGCUGAAAGACUGACCAGCAAAAGCUCACUCGUGAGGAGAACACCAUCCUUCAAAAUCAAAGCGGAGAGAAAGUCUGCAGAAUUUUCCAGAUUUUAAGGAAGAUGAGACUGCAGGGACACAAGCCUCCAUCACCACCCUAAGUCUAGAACAAAGUGGAAAUAAAACAAAACUGCUUCCAUCUCUACUAGAAGCA